UUUCCGUAGGUGAACCUGCGGAAGGAUCAUUACCGAGUGCGGACCCUCUGGGUCCAACCUCCCAUCCGUGUCUAUUCAUACCCUGUUGCUUCGGCGGGCCCGCUUGGCUGUCCCCCCCCUCCUGGGGAGGGGGCUGCCGGCCGCCGGGGGGCUACCCUGCCCCCGGGCCCGUGCCCGCCGGGGACACCAACACUGAACACUGUCUGAAGGUUGCAGUCUGAGUUUUCAUAAAGAAAAAUUGUUAAAACUUUCAACAACGGAUCUCUUGGUUCCG
rnacentral:misc_RNA from 1 species